rnacentral:rRNA from 1 species
CUGGCUCAGGAUGAACGCUGGCGGCGCGCCUAAUACAUGCAAGUCGUACGAGGGAAGUCCAGCUUGCUGGACGGAACGAGUGGCGAACGGGUGAGUAAUACGUAAGCAACCUGCCUGCAAGGACUGGGAUAACACCUGGAAACGGGCGCUAAUACCGGAUAGGUAACAAAGGGGCAUCCCUAUGUUAUUAAAGGUUAGAAACACAAGCAGAUGGGCUUACGGUGCAUUAGCUAGUUGGUGAGGUAACGGCCCACCAAGGCGAUGAUGCAUAGCCGGCCUGAGAGGGUGAACGGCCACAUUGGGACUGAGACACGGCCCAGACUCCUACGGGAGGCAGCAGUAGGGAAUUUUCGGCAAUGGACGAAAGUCUGACCGAGCAACGCCGCCGUGAGUGAAGAAGGUUUUCGGAUUGUAAAGCUCUGUUGUAAGGGAAGAACAGCACGGAAAGAAUCCGUGAAUGACGGUACCUUACCAGAAAGCCACGGCUAACUACGUGCCAGCAGCGGC